rnacentral:rRNA from 1 species
AUGUCCGACGGAAGAGGAGCGAACAUGUGCCUCGCCGAAUACGAGAGGGCGCCCAACACGACUCGUCUGACGCUGCAAGCAUGUCAAGUGUGCACCAAGUGCCCAACACCGCCGGCCAACUGCCAGCCCCCCACGGACACGCCGCUGCAGACACCACCUCACCUCGCCACCGCCAGCACCCGACCAACCACUACACUGCAAACCCGGUCCUCCUGCCGAGAGGUCAACUCUCCACCAGCGAUGCUCCCAUCGAAGAAACGACGCCAAAGACGCCGUCAUCGCCGAUCCAACAAGGUAGAUCUUGGUUUUCACCCGGAGAGUAUAGCUCAAGGACAUGAGAGGGGCCGAAUCUCCUCGGUGACGCCUCCAACAAGGAAACAACACCCACAAGCAUUGUCAUCACCGGCCAUGAGCAGGACUUUCGUCCGGAGAUACUGCACACCUACGCCGGGACGUUGCCCCGCGCGCACCCCACCUUCAGAUCUGGAGCCUAGCUCCUCCCAUCCUGGCCGGAGCAUAGCCUGCAGCACCACUGGCCUGCUCAAGAGCCGCACCAGGGCACCACCACGAGGUGCACUGCAUCCAGCCCACCGCAGCGCUUGGGCAUGUCCAGAUCGGGCAUGCCCGCAGCUGCCCCUGUACGCACGCCGGAGACCUGGCAGCAGCCCCCGCCUGGGACUCCACCGCACAGUCCGGACGGCGCAGAUCCGCCGCCCCAGCCUCACAAGCCCGCGGCAGGCCCGGGUGAGCCCAGAUCGGGCCCGCCCCGCCUGCAGCCGCAGCCGUGCGCCCACCGGAGGGAGGCAGAGGCGGCGUGACCUCGAUCUGCAGCACCCCACCUCGGCCAAAUCACCGCCGCCGCCGGCCUCGGAUGGAGCAACUCAGAUCCGCCUGCCAGCCGCCAAGCGAGGCCGCGCCUCCGAGAGUGGCCACAGAGAAUGCCCCGCCGCCACCAUCCCUGGAGUCGGCCGAGCUUCGCCGGCGAGCCCCUCAGGCGGCGGCGAGGGAAGGAGGAGGGUGGAGGGAGGGAUGGCCGGUUAG